CGCGGUACUCUCAGUGCGGUACCCUAGCGACGGCGAGGCGGGCCUACGGCGCCAGACACCGGAACCGGAAGUUGUUUGGAGACUUUGCAUCUCAACUGGAAAAGAAGCUGCUGACUGGACUUCUUCCUUCUCCCGAGGUGGGCUCGGCACGAAGGUCAUGGCAGCCAGUCCAUGAGGGAGGCAGGCAGCGGACCCUGAGGGGCAGUGUGAAGACUUAAACUUGGGCUGGAUACAAAGACAGUACCCUUAGAAUUAUGCUACAAUAACAAAUAACAGCUUUGCCAGUGGACCUUUUACUACCCCUGAAGAAUCCCGUUUCCAGGCAUGAGCACUUGGACUUUCUUUCUUUACUUAAGACUUUGCAAUGAAAUACAAAACACUUACUGGAGUUCUUCGGUCUGCGCGUGGUGGGCUCAGUGUGGAGGUCAAGACAGCAAUACACGGUGAAGGGGAGGCAGUCGGAGUCUGAGAUAAAGGUUGGUGACUCUGUGAUCUCACCUCCCCUCAGAACUGCAAUUAUCAUUUCACCUGCAGUGGGAAUGACAGUGCAGGCUUGGGGAACUGAGAACAUUUCCAGAAAAACUUUUUUCCAGUUGCUAAUUAUGAAAACCAAUUACAAGCUUCUCGUGAGUAUCUCCAAAGAGACUGUUGGAGUGUUAGAGAGGCUAUUACUUUUUCAGGAUGCCCGAGGCACACCGGCUCUCACGCGUAAGUACUAUUGAGCUCUGGGCCUCGAGGUCCUUGCGAGGGUUUUGUGUCUCGCUAGAUUCCAGCGUCCCUGAGUUCUUCCACCCAAAGUCAAGUUAAGUUUUCAUUUUGGGGUCCCUGAGUUGCACCAUUUUAAGUAUUCAGCCUAAAAACAGAACCAAACAGUACCAGAGAAGGAUGUCUAAUGAGGCAAGAGUGAAAGGAAGAACAUGAUGUUAACAAUUGACAUUGGAAGUCAUUGGUUUCUUCCUCAUGAUGGCUGACUUAAGGCAUUUCCAGUGUGCCUCAUCCACUUAUAAGAACCAAAAUAGUGUUAAAUGAUCACACCUUGAACAUAUUAUCCAAGAAGGAGCAUAGCUGUUCAACAGAAAAGCAAAAGGAAAAUCCAGGUUCUAGGAAGAAGUGCAGGCACCGUCCAGGCUGGACCGGCUAAAGGCCACGGUGAAUACCCAGUUGGGAGAGCACGAGUGAGUGUCUCUGUGGGCCGCUUUCCUACGGAAGUACAGUGCAGUCCAGUUUGUCUCCAGAAUUUCCCCUUUUCAUAAGGACACCAGCCAUAUUGGGUUAGGGGCCCAACCUACUCCAGUGUGACCUCAUCUUACCCUAACUAAUUGCUUCUUCAAUGACUCUAUUUCCAAAUAAGGCCAUAUCUUAAUGUACUGGGGGUCAAGACUGCAAUAUAUGACAUUUGAGGGGGAUACACAAUUCAAGCCAUACGAGAAAGGGUGUGAUGAUGCCAUACUCACAAAAUGCAGAUGUGACUCAGCUAAAUAAUGGGAGAGAGGCCCACAGAAGAAGAAGCGAAGGGAAUGUUUCUUUCUCAGGCAAAUGUGGAGUCCCAGGUCACAUGCUAAGUCCUCUAUUCCUUGGGAAAAGCCAUGCUUUUCUAAUUUGAGAACUUCUACUUCUCUACUUCUGAAAUACAAGCCAAAAAGAGAAUAUGGUGUGUGUGUGUGUGUGUGUGUGUGUGUAGUAUCAUGGGAA